CCUACGGGAGGCAGCAGUGAGGAAUAUUGGUCAAUGGGCGAGAGCCUGAACCAGCCAAGUCGCGUGAAGGAUGAAGGAUCUAUGGUUUGUAAACUUCUUUUAUAAAGGAAUAAAACGAGGCACGUGUGCCUUUUUGCAUGUACUUUAUGAAUAAGGAUCGGCUAACUCCGUGCCAGCAGCCGCGGUAAUACGGAGGAUCCGAGCGUUAUCCGGAUUUAUGGGGUUUAAAGGGAGCGUAGAUGGGUUGUUAAGUCAGUUGUGAAAGUUUGCGGCUCAACCGUAAAAUUGCAAUUGAUACUGGCAGUCUUGAGUACAGUUGCGGUCGGCGGAAUUCGUUGUGUAGCGGUGACAUGCUUAGAUAUCACGAAGAACCCCGAUUGCGACGGCAGCUUACUAAACUGUGACUGACAUUGAUGCUCGAAAGUGUGGGUAUCAAACAGGAUUAGAUACCCCGGUAGUC
rnacentral:rRNA from 1 species